ACGUAGGGUGCGAGCGUUAAUCGGAAUUACUGGGCGUAAAGCGUGCGCAGGCGGUUUUGUAAGACAGAUGUGAAAUCCCCGGACUCAACCCGGGAACUGCAUUGGAAACUGGCGGACUUGAGUGUGGCAGAGGGGGGUGGAAUUCCGCGUGUAGCAGUGAAAUGCGUAGAUAUGCGGAGGAACACCGAUGGCGAAGGCAGCCCCCUGGGCCAACACUGACGCUCAGGCACGAAAGCGUGGGGAGCAAACAGGAUUAGAUACCCUGGUAGUCCACGCCCUAAACUAUGUCGACUGGGUGUCGGGAGAGAGAUCUCUUGGUACCGUAGCUAACGCGUGAAGUCGACCGCCUGGGGAGUACGGCCGCAAGGUUA
rnacentral:rRNA from 1 species